GGGGACGUUUUGGAUUUGACGGGUGGAUUGAUGUAAUCAGGCUGCGGGUCUCAGCGCUGUUCUGAGUUAUCAACGAGCAAAUUAAAACAAACGCUACAAACAAUGUAGUAAAAGCUGAUUUUUCAAGAGUUAGAGCUCUUGCUGCUUAGUAGCAGUUCAGCCGUUAUAUCAGACCAGCUUGCCGUUUGAUAUGACGCAGGUAUGCAAGCUGCACUCCGGUAAUGAAAGCAGCCGGACUAAGUUUUCGCUUUCAAACUGCGUAUCAGUUAAAACUGCUAUGAUAAUAUUUAAGGAAAGGUCUGUGCCGUAAUAUUAUCUAAAAUAACAAACCUACACUCGUAGAUGCAGGUUUAUAUCCCAUUCCGGACGAGAGUUCGAAUCUCUCCGUCUCCAU
rnacentral:tmRNA from 1 species